UACGUAGGAUGCGAGCGUUGUCCGGAUUUAUUGGGCGUAAAGCGUACGUAGGCGGUUUGUUAAGUUUGAUCUUAAAGACUGGGGCUCAACCCCAGGAGUGGAUUGAAGACUGGCAAGCUAGAGGACAUCAGAGGGAAGUGGAAUUCCGAGUGUAGCGGUGAAAUGCGUAGAUAUUCGGAGGAACACCAGAGGCGAAAGCGGCUUCCUGGGGUGGUCCUGACGCUGAGGUACGAAAGCUUGGGGAGCAAACAGG
rnacentral:rRNA from 1 species